rnacentral:rRNA from 1 species
UACGGAGGGUGCAAGCGUUAUCCGGAUUUACUGGGUUUAAAGGGAGCGCAGGCGGAUAAUUAAGUCAGUGGUGAAAUAGUCGAGCUUAACUCGAAAACUGCCAUUGAUACUAUUUAUCUUGAAUGUCGAUGAGGUUUGCGGAAUGGGUCAUGUAGCGGUGAAAUGCUUAGAUAUGACCCGGAACCCCAAUUGCGAAGGCAGCAAACUGGCCGAUUAUUGACGCUGAGGCUCGAAAGCGUGGGGAUCAAACAGG